GGAAGCGUGGCAGAGUCUGGUUUAUCGCGACGCCCUGCUAAGGCGCUGGGCCCUCAGGGGCCCCGGUGGUUCGAAUCCACCCGCUUCCGCCA
rnacentral:tRNA from 1 species